rnacentral:lncRNA from 1 species
CAGUGACGAUCACCUCAAAGUCACUUAUGCCACUCGUUUGGCCCAUUAUAAUGUUCAGUAACUUAAUGCCUCGAUGCCUGUCUGUCUGCUUUAUAUAGCAAGCCACGGCCACAUGACUCACUAUCUGUAGGAGCGAAUCAUUUUCGUGAACAGGGUGGUGUACCUAAUGAACUGACCUCUGGGUUUAUCUUUAAAUAGGACAAAUCUGAGGGGGCACGUGCCUCUGUGCCCCCAAUGGGCAUGACGCCUCUACCUGUUAUCUGUCUGGUAUGUCUUAUUGCUUACAAAUCUAUUGUCUACUUUCAGGUAAUUCCAGUGAAGUAGCAGUGUCCCUCAGUCCUUCUGCUGAUGUUGAGGGCAGCUCAGGGAUGUUAUCCUGCUGUAGUACUGCCCACCCUCCAGCGGAGAGCUACACCUGGUACCAUACUGGAGGAUAUACGGCUGGUGAUAAGGGACAGAUGAUGACCAUCACCAAAAUCAGCUCAACAGACAGUGGAAACUACUACUGUGAAGCCCUGACCACCAAUAGACCAAUCCACUCCUCAGCGUUGUCUAUUAAUGUCCAGUUGACGCCAACCCUGCAGUAGAGCAGAGGACACACCUUCACUGAGAGGGACAGGGCAGAGUUACAGCACCACUAACAUGAGGACAGUGGGCAAUACUGCUGUGUAGCGGUGAACAAGCAUGGACCACAGAGCUCUACUGUUACCAUGACCGUGGGGAAAUGUAGGUGCAAGGGGAUGCAUUGAAAAUAUACAGUAUUUUUCCUGUUCUUUUCCUGUUCUGAAACAAAUGACAGUAUGUACACCAGUGUGUAGCUAUCCCUGGCCUAUAGAGCUCACAGUAGUUUCUUCUCUGCAGUAAAUGGCCAGUCCUCCAUACUGUGGAGGUUGGUGCUGACAGUGGGGUCCCAUUCUGUCACGUCCUGACCAGUAAAAGGGGUUAUUUGUCAUUGUAGUUUGGUCAGGGCGUGGCAGGGGGUGUUUGUUUUGUGUGGUUCGGUGUUUUUGGUUUAUGUUCUAUAUUUUCUAUUCUAUGUGUAUAUCUAGUUUUCUAUUUCUAUGUUGGGUUUUUGGCAAUGACCUCCAAUUAGAAGCAGCUGGUUGUUGUUGUCUCUAAUUGGAGGCCAUAUUUAGUUGGGUUUGUUUUCACUUGUGUUUUGGUGGGUGGUUAUUUUCCUGUAUAGCCUGUGUUGCCUUACGGAACUGUUUUCGUCAUUUGUUUAUUUUGUUUAAGUGUUUUCUUUAAAAUAAAUUAAGAAGAUGAGCACUUUACCCGCUGUGCCUUGGUCCAAUCCUUACGACGCCUAUGACACAUUCACUCUGAUCAUCAUUAUAACAGUGGCUUGUAUUAGGAGGUGAGUGAAAAAGUUACAAUACGUUUAAGCGUUAAAAUUAAAGUGAUGUAAUCUGUAAUCUCUUUUUUGUUUUCAAGUGGCGCAGCGGUCUAAAGCACUGCAUUGCAGUGCUAGAGAUGUCACUACAGACACCCUGGUUCGAAUCCAGGCUGUAUCACAACUGGCUGUGUUUGGGAGUCCCAUAGGAC